rnacentral:rRNA from 1 species
GAUGAACGCUAGCGGCAGGCUUAACACAUGCAAGUCGAGGGGUAUAGUUCUUCGGAGCUAGAGACCGGCGCACGGGUGCGUAACGCGUAUGCAAUCUACCUUUCACAGAGGGAUAGCCCAGAGAAAUUUGGAUUAAUACCUCAUAGUAUUAUGAAAUGGCAUCAUUUUAUAAUUAAAGUCACAACGGUGAAAGAUGAGCAUGCGUCCCAUUAGCUAGUUGGUAAGGUAACGGCUUACCAAGGCUACGAUGGGUAGGGGUCCUGAGAGGGAGAUCCCCCACACUGGUACUGAGACACGGACCAGACUCCUACGGGAGGCAGCAGUGAGGAAUAUUGGACAAUGGGCGCAAGCCUGAUCCAGCCAUGCCGCGUGCAGGAUGACGGUCCUAUGGAUUGUAAACUGCUUUUGCACAGGAAGAAACAACUCUACGUGUAGAGUCUUGACGGUACUGUGAGAAUAAGGAUCGGCUAACUCCGUGCCAGCAGCCGCGGUAAUACGGAGGAUCCAAGCGUUAUCCGGAAUCAUUGGGUUUAAAGGGUCCGUAGGGCGGUUUAGUAAGUCAGUGGCGAAAGCCCAUCGCUCAACGGUGGAACGGCCAUUGAUACUGCUAGACUUGAAUUAUUAGGAAGUAACUAGAAUAUGUAGUGUAGCGGUGGAAUGCUUAGAGAUUACAUGGAAUACCAAUUGCGAAGGCAGGUUACUACUAAUGGAUUGACGCUGAUGGACGAAAGCGUGGGUAGCGAACAGGAUUAGAUACCCUGGUAGUCCACGCCGUAAACGAUGGAUACUAGCUGUUGGAAGCAAUUUCAGUGGCUAAGCGAAAGUGAUAAGUAUCCCACCUGGGGAGUACGUUCGCAAGAAUGAAACUCAAAGGAAUUGACGGGGGCCCGCACAAGCGGUGGAGCAUGUGGUUUAAUUCGAUGAUACGCGAGGAACCUUACCAAGGCUUAAAUGUAGAUUGACCGGUUUGGAAACAGACUUUUCGCAAGACAAUUUACAAGGUGCUGCAUGGUUGUCGUCAGCUCGUGCCGUGAGGUGUCAGGUUAAGUCCUAUAACGAGCGCAACCCCUGUUGUUAGUUGCCAGCGAGUCAUGUCGGGAACUCUAACGAGACUGCCAGUGCAAACUGUGAGGAAGGUGGGGAUGACGUCAAAUCAUCACGGCCCUUGCGCCUUGGGCUACACACGUGCUACAAUGGCCGGUACAGAGAGCAGCCACUGGGCGACCAGGAGCGAAUCUACAAAACCGGUCACAGUUCGGAUCGGAGUCUGCAACUCGACUCCGUGAAGCUGGAAUCGCUAGUAAUCGGAUAUCAGCCAUGAUCCGGUGAAUACGUUCCCGGGCCU